AAGACGAUAAAAGACAUAAGAAAUAAUUUAUUACUAUUUCCUUCAAAACACAAAUUAUACAAUUUCAUUAUUUGGUUGUAACUUAAUUUUAGUGUUUGUAAAAAAAAAUGUACAUUAACGUUAAACCGAACAACUCGGGAAUCGGGCAGGAGACUCGAGACGUGUUCUGGAGUAUUAGAAGAAAAUACAAAUAUUUAAUUUUCUCUUUCUAAAGCGAAAACUGAACGACCAGAAGAUACACGGACCAAUAGAACUUAUGCUCAGAGAACUUUUACACUCAGACAAUUGUGUUGGCCGAGGAAAACCCCAGGUCGAGGUCAUAAUUCCGCGACGGCGCGAAAGCAACAACCCAGCAUGAGUGAAUUUGUUCAAAGGAGAAAUCCCCUGUUUACUCCCCAACAAGCAGCCACUAUACAUUUUCAAAUGUCUCAAUUAAUCUCGAUACAGACGCUCCCCACCUUACGAACAAGUUACAUUCCGAACGACCGUUCAUCCUAAUGAUGUGUUUUUACUUCAUCAAACAAAUAGAAGGGCACCAAAGUGGUGAAAACAAACACCGGCCAUCUUCAGGUGAACCCACGAGUCCUUACCAUGUUAU